rnacentral:tRNA from 1 species
GUUUUUGUAGCUUAAAUUCAAAGCAAGGCACUGAAAAUGCCUAGAUGGGUUUUUUACCCCAAAAACA